rnacentral:rRNA from 1 species
CGAACCGUACCCCAAACCGACACAGGUGGUCAGGUAGAGAAUACUAAGGCGCUUGAGAGAACCCGGGUGAAGGAACUCGGCAAAAUAGUACCGUAACUUCGGGAGAAGGUACGCCGCUGGCUGUGAUGGGACAUGCUCCCUGAGCGGCUGGUGGUCGCAGUGACCAGAUGGCUGGGACUGUUUAUUAAAAACACAGCACUGUGCUAACUCGAAAGAGGACGUAUACGGUGUGACACCUG